rnacentral:rRNA from 1 species
AGUGAACGCUGGCGGUAGGCCUAACACAUGCGAGUCGAACGGCAGCACAGUAAGAGCUUGCUCUUACGGGUGGCGAGUGGCGGACGGGUGAGGAAUACAUCGGAAUCUACUUUUUCGUGGGGGAUAACGUAGGGAAACUUACGCUAAUACCGCAUACGACCUACGGGUGAAAGCAGGGGAUCUUCGGACCUUGCGCGAUUGAAUGAGCCGAUGUCGGAUUAGCUAGUUGGCGGGGUAAAGGCCCACCAAGGCGACGAUCUGUAGCUGGUCUGAGAGGAUGAUCAGCCACACUGGAACUGAGACACGGUCCAGACUCCUACGGGAGGCAGCAGUGGGGAAUAUUGGACAAUGGGCGCAAGCCUGAUCCAGCCAUACCGCGUGGGUGAAGAAGGCCUUCGGGUUGUAAAGCCCUGUUGUUGGGAAAGAAAAGCAGCAGGUUAAUACCCCGCUGUUCUGACGGUACCCAAAGAAUAAGCACCGGCUAACUUCGUG